ACCACGCUCUACGGAACUGUGCGGACAAGGCCCAGACGAAGUUCGGCUUAGGAGGUUUGGCUUUGCGUCUUCCUAGGCCAAAAGAAGAUGUCAGAUCCCCACAAUCCAGAGUUACAGACAACUGUGAAACCAAACCUGGAUCCUGCAAGAGCUGCAAGAGCUCAUAACUGCUGAGCCAUCUCUCCAGCCCCGUGGUGUUUGUUUGUUUGUUUACUUGAGUCCCCUUUCAGAACGUGUCAGACAGAUGGCAGAGAAGGCAGUACUGGGGAAUGUCAUCACGCUGCUCCCGCUCACCCUUCAGGUCUACCCACACACCACUACAUGUCAAGAAUAUGUAUUUGGCCCUAUUCCUAUGUUGUGAAGUAUCGAAGGAUACCGUUUGGCUCUGCUCAACACGGAUGUCCACGGUGGUCCACGCUGUCGGGACCGAACAGAAGCCUGAAAUAUGUUGUUGCCUUCUUACCUUCAGGUAGAAGAAUGGGGUGUGGAUACCAGCUCUAUUGUCAGGUAAUGUGUUGUAACAGUAAUAUUUUAUUCCUAUUUAUCUUUUUGUUUGUUUUCAGCUGGUUUUUAACUUGGAGUGGAGUCAUAAGGAUUGUUGAUUGGGCUUUCUAACUCUACUGUUUCUUCUUCAUCGUCGUUGUCAUCAUCGUUGUCAUCUCAUGUAGGUCAGGCUGACCAAGAACUGCCUGUUUAGA